UACGUAGGGUGCGAGCGUUGUCCGGAAUUAUUGGGCGUAAAGAGCUCGUAGGCGGUUUGUUGCGUCGGCCGUGAAAACCUGCAGCUUAACUGUGGGCCUGCGGCCGAUACGGGCAGACUUGAGUUCGGUAGGGGAGACUGGAAUUCCUGGUGUAGCGGUGAAAUGCGUAGAUAUCUGGAGGAACACCGGUGGCGAAGGCGGCAUCCUGGACCAUUACUGACACUGAAAAGCGAAAGCCAGGGGAGCAAACGGG
rnacentral:rRNA from 1 species